rnacentral:lncRNA from 1 species
UCCUAUUCUCCCUAUCAGUCAAGAGAAGAGCAGUCUCGAUGAGCCGCUUGGCUAGCAUCAGAGUGGCCAAGACCAACACACUGACAGAAAUUCGAAUGUCGAAGAGAGUGGGGAGACCCAUCGACGAUCCAUUAUUGGUAGAAGUGGCCGAUGUCUUUCUCCUCUCUCCAGUUAGCGGUCGUUCGCUCGAAGCCACCAUGAAAUCGGAGCUUGACGGUGCUCGAGACCACAUCGUUCUAGCUAAAGGCAUUGGAGGAAUGGUUUGCAUGGCAAC